rnacentral:rRNA from 1 species
AGAACGAACGCUGGCGGCAUGCCUAACACAUGCAAGUCGAACGCUCUUGGGGCUUCGGUCUCAGGGGAGUGGCGCACGGGUGAGUAGCGCGUGGGAACCUGCCCUGUUGUGGGGGAUAACCGAGGGAAACUUCGGCUAAUACCGCAUAAGCCGGUUGUCUUGAAGGAGAUGGCCGGGAAAGAUUUAUCGCGACAGGAGGGGCCCGCGUCGGAUUAGCUAGUUGGUGGGGUAACGGCCCACCAAGGCGGUGAUCCGUAGCUGGUCUGAGAGGAUGAUCAGCCACACUGGGACUGAGACACGGCCCAGACUCCUACGGGAGGCAGCAGUGGGGAAUAUUGGACAAUGGGCGCAAGCCUGAUCCAGCAAUGCCGCGUGAGUGAUGAAGGCCUUAGGGUUGUAAAGCUCUUUCGCCCGCGACGAUGAUGACGGUAGCGGGAGAAGAAGCCCCGGCUAACUCGUGCCAGCAGCCGCGGUAA